UACGAAGGGGGCUAGCGUUGCUCGGAAUCACUGGGCGUAAAGCGCACGUAGGCGGCUUUUUAAGUCAGGGGUGAAAUCCUGGAGCUCAACUCCAGAACUGCCUUUGAUACUGAAAGUCUUGAGUAUGGGAGAGGUGAGUGGAACUGCGAGUGUAGAGGUGAAAUUCGUAGAUAUUCGCAAGAACACCAGUGGCGAAGGCGGCUCACUGGCCCAUAACUGACGCUGAGGCACGAAAGCGUGGGGAGCAAACAGG
rnacentral:rRNA from 1 species